AACGAACGCUGGCGGCAUGCCUAACACAUGCAAGUCGAACGAGACCUUCGGGUCUAGUGGCGCACGGGUGCGUAACGCGUGGGAACCUGCCCUUAGGUUCGGAAUAACUCCCCGAAAGGGGUGCUAAUACCGGAUAAUGUCUUCGGACCAAAGAUUUAUCGCCUUUGGAUGGGCCCGCGUUGGAUUAGCUAGUUGGUAGGGUAAAAGCCUACCAAGGCGACGAUCCAUAGCUGGUCUGAGAGGAUGAUCAGCCACACUGGGACUGAGACACGGCCCAGACUCCUCCGGGAGGCAGCAGUGGGGAAUAUUGGACAAUGGGCGAAAGCCUGAUCCAGCAAUGCCGCAUGAGUGAUGAAGGCCUUAGGGUUGUAAAGCUCUUUUACCCGGGAUGAUAAUGACAGUACCGGGCGAAUAAGCCCCGGCUAACUCCGUG
rnacentral:rRNA from 1 species